rnacentral:rRNA from 1 species
UUCGAGGUACGACUAAGCCAUGCGAGUCGAAUGUAGCAAUACAUGGCGAACUGCUCAGUAACAGUGGACAACCUACCCUUAGGCCUGUAUAACCCCGGGAAACUGGGAAUAAUACCGGACUGGCGCGAAUGCUGGAAUGCGUCGCGCCAGAAAGCUCCGGCGCCUAAGGAUGGGUCUGCGGCCUAUCAGGGUAGCAGUGGGUGUAACGGACCUACUAGCCUACGACGGGCCGGGUCGUGAGAGCAAGAGCCCGGAGACGAUUCUGAGACACGAAUCCAGGCCCUACGGGGUGCAGCAGGCGCGAAAACUUUACAAUGCUGGCAACAGCGAUANAUUAGGGACCUCGAGUGCCAGGAUACAAUCCUGGCUGUCGUAAUGCCUAAAAAGCAUUGCAUAGCAAGGGCCGGGCAAGACCGGUGCCACCCCGCCGCGGGUAAACCGGCGGCUCAGUGGUAUCCUAUUACUCGGGUUAAAGGGAGGUCCGUGUUGCAAGUUCAAUUUA